GACCACUCCAAAGAAGGAAGAGGAAAAAUCUGCACAAAAACUUCCUUUUUACUUCUUAAAAUACAGGAGUCUAGAUUCUAGCAAUGGUUGUGCUCCAUUUUUUUUCUUUCUUCUUUUAAAAUAAUAUUUUUUCUUUUCCUUAUUCUUUUAAACAGCUACACAGAUCAGAAAAUUGCCUGUUUGACCUUUGUGGCAAUUUAUUUUACCAAGGUGUGUGCUCUCCUUUCUAAAAUAAGUGCACUGAUACGAUGUCUGACGUUUUCUCAGAUGAAUGCUUCUAGGAUUUCAAAAGAAGAUUCUUGUUUAAAAAGCACAUAUGGCUGCCCAACCCAAACAGUCAAGGCUGACAGGCGCUGAAGCAUUCAUCAGUAGUCCAGUUUCCUCAUGUCUCCUGCCUCCUGAUUUGUACUUGGAGAAAGAAGAAAGCACAACACAGACAAAGACAAUGAAAUCUGACUACACACCAGUGGGACUGUGCUUAGUUCAAAACUCCAGGCAUGAAGCCCAAAUAGAUUCAGGCUCAGCUUUAUCCUUACACAACAGGGAAGAUGAUAAAAUGCAUUUACUUAGUCUUGCAUCAUGAGAGCCAAAUGAUUCCAAACUGAACUAAUCCUGUUCUAUCCCAGGAGCAGUGUUUUGGUUCUCCGCAAUACACAUGUCAAAAUGGUGAUGUUGUGGCAUGAUACAUUUCCACAACACCCCUUCAAGUGUGAUCAGGCAUGUACUCCAGCACAUAAAUGCUCUGUAUACAUUUGCUUAAAUAAAUAAUUCAUGAAACUACAAAUACCUAUCCCUGAAGCAGCUUCCAACUCUUAAACACUCGAAGCAUGCUCAUCCUCAUUUUAAACAGGAGGAGAUGAAGUGCACGUUGUGAUUCAGAUGGAGGGGCUGCCAAUCCACUGAGACCUAUUUCGAAUUAGUAAGGAGUUUGCUACUGUAUAUCAACACAGCAGGGGGAAUUUUAUUUCAAAGGCAAAAUGCUGAGAUUACGUACUGAUUUCACUGGUCCUCACUGGAAGCAAUCCUGGGACAAGAGCAUGGACUUCCAAACUGCUGCUCAUUUCCUCUGCCUUGUGAAGGGAUCUAAGGACUGACUGAGCUCCCUCCUGCAACACACUGGGCUCCCAAACACAGCUCAUUAAGAGUUCACCUCUACCCAGCAAACCAGGCCUCCUACGUCUAGCAUGCUAUGAGUUGAAGGAUUAAUAAAGCACAGCAUAGAACUCCACA
rnacentral:lncRNA from 1 species